rnacentral:rRNA from 1 species
CCUACGGGGUGCUGUAGUCGAGAAUCAUUCACAAUGGGGGAAACCCUGAUGGUGCGACGCCGCGUGGGGGAAUGAAGGUCUUCGGAUUGUAAACCCCUGUCAUGUGGGAGCAAAUUAAAAAGAUAGUACCACAUGAGGAAGAGACGGCUAACUCUGUGCCAGCAGCCGCGGUAAUACAGAGGUCUCAAGCGUUGUUCGGAAGCACUGGGCGUAAAGCGUGCGUAGGCUGUUUCGUAAGUCGUGUGUGAAAGGCGCGGGCUCAACCCGCGGACGGCACAUGAUACUGGGAGACUAGAGUAAUGGAGGGGGAACCGGAAUGCUCGGUGUAGCAGUGAAAUGCGUAGAUAGCGAGAGGAACACUCGUGGCGAAGGCGGGUUCCUGGACAUUAACUGACGCUGAGGCACGAAGGCCAGGGGAGCGAAAGGGAUUAGAUACCCGAGUAGUC